AUUGAACGAUGGCGGCAGGCCUAACACAUGAAAGUCGGGCGGGCGGAGGACGGGUGAGUAAUGUAUGGGGAUCUGCCUGAUGGAGGGGGAUACAUACUGAACACGGUAGCUAAUACCGCAUACAAUCAGAUGAACGCAUAUGGGAUUAGCUAGUCAGUAAGGUAACUGCUUACCGAGGCGAAGAUCACUCACUGGUCUGAGAGGAUGAUCAGCCACACUGGGACGUAGACACGGCCCAUACUCCUACGGGAGGCCGCAGUGGGUAAUAUUGCACAAUGGGCGCAAGCCUGAUGCAGCCAUGCCGCGGGUAUGAAGAAGGCCUUCGGGUUGUAAAGUACUUGCAGUCGGGAGGCGUUACCGACCGAAGAAGCACCGGCUAACUCCGUGCCAGCAGCCGCGGUAAUUC
rnacentral:rRNA from 1 species